rnacentral:rRNA from 1 species
GACGAACGCUGGCGGCGUGCCUAAUACAUGCAAGUCGAACGCAGUGGGGACGGGUGAGUAAAACGUGGGUAACCUCCCAUCAGAGGGGAUAACACUUGGAAACAGGUGCUAAACCGAUACUGAUGGAUGGAACCGCGGUGCAUUAGGUAGUUGGUGAGGUAACGGCUCACCAAGGCCACGAUGCAUAGGCGACCUGAGAGGGGGAUCUGCCACACUGGGACUGAGACACGGCCCAGACUCCUACGGGAGGCAUCAGUAGGGAAUCUUCGGCAAUGGACGAAAGUCUGACCGAGCAAAGCCGCGGGAGUGAAGAAGGUUUUCGGAUCGUAAAACUCUGUUGUUAGAGAAGCGGUAUCUAACCAGAAAGCCCCGGCUAACUCCGUGCCAGCAGCCGCGGUAAUUC